rnacentral:rRNA from 1 species
AACGAACGCUGGCGGCAUGCCUAACACAUGCAAGUCGAACGGGAUCCGGACUUCGGUCCGGUGAGAGUGGCGGACGGGUGAGUAACACGUGGGAACCUGCCUUUUGGUUCGGGAUAACCGCGGGAAACUGCGGCUAAUACCGGAUGCUCCCGAGAGGGAAAAGAUUUAUCGCCAGAAGAGGGGCCCGCGUCCGAUUAGGUAGUUGGUGGGGUAAUGGCCUACCAAGCCGACGAUCGGUAGCCGGUCUGAGAGGAUGAUCAGCCACACUGGGACUGAGAUACGGCCCAGACUCCUACGGGAGGCAGCAGUGGGGAAUAUUGGACAAUGGGGGGCAACCCUGAUCCAGCAAUGCCGCGUGAGUGAUGAAGGCCUUAGGGUUGUAAAGCUCUUUUACCAGGGACGAUGAUGACGGUACCUGGAGAAUAAGCCCCGGCUAACUUCGUGCCAGCAGCCGCGGUAAU